rnacentral:rRNA from 1 species
UGGGGAAUAUUGCACAAUGGGCGCAAGCCUGAUGCAGCCAUGCCGCGUGUGUGAAGAAGGCCUUCGGGUUGUAAAGCACUUUCAGCGGGGAGGAAGGCGAUAAGGUUAAUAACCUUGUCGAUUGACGUUACACGCAGAAGAAGCACCGGCUAACUCCGUGCCAGCAGCCGCGGUAAUACGGAGGGUGCAAGCGUUAAUCGGAAUUACUGGGCGUAAAGCGCACGCAGGCGGUCUGUCAAGUCGGAUGUGAAAUCCCCGGGCUCAACCUGGGAACUGCAUUCGAAACUGGCAGGCUAGAGUCUUGUAGAGGGGGGUAGAAUUCCAGGUGUAGCGAUGAAAUGCGUAGAGAUCUGGAGGAAUACCGGUGGCGAAGGCGGCCCCCUGGACAAAGACUGACGCUCAGGUGCGAAAGCGUGGGGAGCAAACAGG